rnacentral:tRNA from 1 species
GCCCCGAUAGUCUAGCCCGGUUAAGGACAAUGGCCUCUCACGCCAUAGACCCGGGUUCGAAUCCCGGUCGGGGCA